UACGGGGGGAGCAAGCGUUGUUCGGAUUUACUGGGCGUAAAGGGCGCGUAGGCGGCGCAACAAGUCACUUGUGAAAUCUCCGGGCUUAACCCGGAGCGGUCAAGUGAUACUGUCGUGCUAGAGUGCGGAAGGGGCUACUGGAAUUCUCGGUGUAGCGGUGAAAUGCGUAGAUAUCGAGAGGGAACACCAGUGGCGGAAGGCGGUACUCUGGGCCGGAACUGACGCUGAGGAGCGAAAAGCGUGGGUAGCGAACAGG
rnacentral:rRNA from 1 species